rnacentral:tRNA from 1 species
AUCUUUUUAGUAUAAAUAAUUAUAUUUGACUUCCAAUCAAAAGAUCUUAAUAUAAGAAAAGAUA